rnacentral:rRNA from 1 species
GUGGGGAAUCUUGCGCAAUGGGCGAAAGCCUGACGCAGCCAUGCCGCGUGAAUGAUGAAGGUCUUAGGAUUGUAAAAUUCUUUCACCGGGGACGAUAAUGACGGUACCCGGAGAAGAAGCUCCGGCUAACUUCGUGCCAGCAGCCGCGGUAAUACGAAGGGGGCUAGCGUUGCUCGAAAUUACUGGGCGUAAAGGGCGCGUAGGCGGACAGCUUAGUCAGAGGUGAAAGCCCAGGGAUCAACCUUGGAAGUGCCUUUGAUACUGGCUGUCUUGAGUUUGGGAGAGGUGAGUGGAACUCCGAGUGUAGAGGUGAAAUUCGUAGAUAUUCGGAAGAACACCAGUGGCGAAGGCGACAUACUGGUCCAUUACAGACGCUGAGGCUCGAAAGCGUGGGGAGCAAACAGGAUUAGAUACCCUUGUAGUCC